rnacentral:rRNA from 1 species
AUUGAACGCUGGCGGCAGGCCUAACACAUGCAAGUCGAACGAGUGGCGGACGGGUGAGUAAUGUCUGGGAAACUGCCUGAUGGAGGGGGAUAACUACUGGAAACGGUAGCUAAUACCGCAUACCAUCAGAUGUGCCCAGAUGGGUUUGGCUCGUUGGUGGGGUGACGGCUCACCAAGGCGACGAUCCCUAGCUGGUCUGAGAGGAUGACCAGCCACACUGGAACUGAGCCACGGUCCAGUCGCCGACGUGAGGCAGCAGUGGGGAAUAUUCCACGAUGGGCGCAAGCCUGAUGCAGCCAUGCCGCGGGUAUGAAGAAGGCCUUCGGGUUGUAAAGUCCUUUCAGCGGUGAGGCGUUACCCGCAGAAGAAGCACCGGCUAACUCCGUGCCAGCAGCCGCGGUAAUUC